UUGUUGUGGAAGAUAUUGAUGCCAUGUUCAGAGGGGAAACCCCACAAGGUGCUUCUAUAUUUCUUGAGCAGCUAACACAAUCAACCCCUCGAAUCAUUGCGACAUCAAACAGACUAAACUUCCCUGACAUGCAGAAACUUGCCAAGAAUGAUUUUAUCGGCAGGGUCGUAGUAGUUGGCUAUCCCAACCAUUCUGAACGUACCGAGAUCCUCAAGAAACUAUUCCAUAUCGAUUCAAACCGUAAAGAGCUUCCUGCUGCGGUGAAGGAAAUGAUGAGCGCAAAUCGCUUUGUUCAGGUAUCUAACAAAAGUUGGUUAUCUUGCAAUGCUUGUGAAAAAUGCACCGAGGACGGGUUGGAAUGUAUUUCUUGUAGAGCUGUCAAGAAAACUCGAAGUGAAAUAGAGGAGUUGUUCGGGUCGGAUUGCUCCUUUUCUUAUGCACCCGCACGCGUGGUUGAACCAGGAGAGUUCCUCGCAGAGAUAGAGCAAUAUACUUUGCAUAAACCAGAAAUUGAAACAAUUGUGUCUAGCUUUAGCCAAGCGUGAAUUUUGUUUCCAGUGACCACCUUUUGAUUGUAAACAGCAUAACUCGCAUAACUAAUAGAACUCUGAUUUGAAAAAAAA
rnacentral:rRNA from 1 species